rnacentral:rRNA from 1 species
CUACGGGAGGCAGCAGUGAGGAAUAUUGGUCAAUGGACGAGAGUCUGAACCAGCCAAGUAGCGUGCAGGAAGACGGCCCUAUGGGUUGUAAACUGCUUUUAUAAGGGAAUAAAGUGAGAGUCGUGACUCUUUUUGCAUGUACCUUAUGAAUAAGGACCGGCUAAUUCCGUGCCAGCAGCCGCGGUAAUACGGAAGGUCCGGGCGUUAUCCGGAUUUAUUGGGUUUAAAGGGAGCGUAGGCCGGAGAUUAAGCGUGUUGUGAAAUGUAGAUGCUCAACAUCUGAACUGCAGCGCGAACUGGUUUCCUUGAGUACGCACAAAGUGGGCGGAAUUCGUGGUGUAGCGGUGAAAUGCUUAGAUAUCACGAAGAACUCCGAUUGCGAAGGCAGCUCACUGGAGCGCAACUGACGCUGAAGCUCGAAAGUGC